UUCUUAUCCAGAGAGGCGGAGGGACUGGCCCGAUGAUGCCCGGCAACCAAUCACCUGUACGAGUUAAUGUACAGGGAGAUAAUGGUGCUAAUUCCUGCAGAGUUAUCAAACUCUGAAAGAUGAGAA
rnacentral:ncRNA from 1 species